GGCGGGCCCGUGUCUGGCCCCGCCCCCGGCGCGGGCACGUCGGCGCGCGGGGUGGGUGUGACGCAGUUGCCCAUGGUAACCGCGGGCCGCGCCGAGGAUGGGUUUACUGUCAAUCCUGCGCAAACUAAAAAGCACCCCAGACCAGGAGGUGAGAAUCCUCCUCUUGGGACUGGAUAAUGCAGGCAAGACCACGCUCCUGAAACAGCUGGCAUCAGAGGACAUCAGCCACAUCACCCCAACACAGGGCUUCAACAUCAAAAGUGUACAGUCUCAAGGCUUCAAACUGAACGUAUGGGACAUAGGCGGACAGAGGAAGAUCAGACCAUACUGGAGGAACUAUUUUGAAAACACAGAUAUCCUUAUCUAUGUCAUUGACAGUGCAGAUAGGAAGAGGUUUGAAGAAACAGGUCAGGAGCUAGCUGAGCUUUUGGAUGAGGAGAAGCUCAGCGGAGUCCCCGUGCUGAUAUUCGCGAACAAGCAGGACUUGCUGACGGCUGCCCCCGCGUCGGAGAUUGCCGAGGGACUGAACCUGCACACAAUCCGGGACAGAGUCUGGCAGAUCCAGUCUUGUUCAGCUCUUUCGGGAGAGGGAGUACAGAUGCUACAGAGCAGUUCAGGAUAGUGAGAUCUCAAGCUGAGUAUGAAGAGUCACAGAAGCAGCCCUCCAUGCUGAGUGGGCAGUAAAAUGGCAGAUGAAAUUCAGCGUUGACAAGUGCAAAAUAAUGCACAUGAGAAACAACAAUCCUAAUUAUACGACGAAGGACUCAAAAUUAGCUGCCAUUACUCAGAAGCAGAUCCUUGGGAACAGAGCUCAUCAAAGGCCAGAGAGGAAAAUUCAAACACUGGACAAUUACAAGAAAGCAAAGAAGAAACAUCUUUUCUAGCAGGACGGCAUGAACUGGGUGUGCAAAAAUGUCAGUACUAAGAAGAAGUAAAGCGUUCUGAGCUGCAUGGAAAUGGAGGAGCGGUGGGAGCAGAAUUCUAGCCUGAAAACACUAAUUUGCUGCUUUCUGACCAAAUGUUUUUCCAUCUGUGCACAGCUACAGCUGUUAAAAGAAAAAAAAAAAAAAGAGAGAGAGAAAAGGGAGCAACAUUGGUUUAAACCUACUGCUGGAUUUGGAACUUGACCUGCUCUUUAGUAUCAUUUUUUUAUCCCAAUAAAGGAAUUACAUAUUUCCUCCCUA